rnacentral:rRNA from 1 species
AUGAGGGAGUGCAUCUCGAUCCACAUCGGCCAGGCCGGCAUCCAGGUCGGGAACGCGUGCUGGGAGCUCUACUGCCUCGAGCAUGGCAUUCAGCCUGAUGGCCAGAUGCCCGGUGACAAGACCGUUGGGGGAGGUGAUGAUGCUUUCAACACCUUCUUCAGCGAGACUGGGGCUGGGAAGCACGUCCCCCGUGCUGUCUUCGUAGAUCUCGAGCCCACUGUGAUUGAUGAGGUGAGGACUGGCGCUUACCGCCAGCUCUUCCACCCUGAGCAGCUUAUCAGUGGCAAGGAGGAUGCAGCCAACAACUUCGCCCGUGGUCAUUACACCAUUGGCAAGGAGAUUGUUGAUCUGUGCCUUGACCGUAUCAGGAAGCUUUCAGACAACUGCACUGGUCUCCAGGGAUUCCUUGUCUUCAACGCUGUUGGAGGUGGAACUGGCUCUGGCCUUGGUUCUCUUCUGCUGGAGCGCCUCUCUGUUGACUAUGGAAAGAAGUCCAAGCUUGGGUUCACAGUGUACCCAUCACCCCAGGUCUCCACCUCUGUUGUUGAGCCAUACAACAGUGUCCUGUCCACCCACUCCCUCCUUGAGCACACUGAUGUGUCUAUCCUUCUUGACAAUGAGGCCAUCUAUGACAUCUGCCGCCGCUCCCUUGACAUUGAGCGCCCAACAUACACCAACCUCAACAGGCUUGUUUCUCAGGUCAUUUCAUCGCUGACAGCUUCCCUGAGGUUUGAUGGUGCUCUGAAUGUUGAUGUCAAUGAAUUCCAGACCAACUUGGUGCCCUACCCGAGGAUCCACUUCAUGCUUUCCUCCUAUGCCCCAGUGAUCUCAGCUGAGAAGGCCUACCAUGAGCAGCUGUCUGUUGCUGAGAUCACCAACAGCGCCUUUGAGCCUUCAUCUAUGAUGGCCAAGUGUGACCCCCGCCACGGCAAGUACAUGGCCUGCUGUCUCAUGUACCGUGGUGAUGUUGUUCCCAAGGAUGUCAACGCUGCUGUGGCCACCAUCAAGACCAAGCGCACUAUCCAGUUUGUUGACUGGUGCCCCACUGGCUUCAAGUGUGGUAUCAACUACCAGCCACCAGGUGUUGUCCCAGGUGGUGACCUUGCCAAGGUCCAGAGGGCUGUGUGCAUGAUCUCCAACUCCACCAGUGUCGUCGAGGUCUUCUCCCGCAUUGACCACAAGUUUGACCUCAUGUACGCCAAGCGUGCCUUCGUCCACUGGUACGUCGGUGAGGGCAUGGAGGAGGGAGAGUUCUCUGAGGCCCGUGAGGAUCUUGCUGCCCUGGAGAAGGACUAUGAAGAAGUUGGUGCUGAGUUCGACGAGGGUGAGGACGGUGACGAGGGCGACGAGUACUAG